rnacentral:rRNA from 1 species
UACGUAGGGUGCAAGCGUUGUCCGGAAUUAUUGGGCGUAAAGAGCUCGUAGGCGGUUCGUCGCGUCGGCUGUGAAAUCCCGAGGCUCAACCUCGGGUCUGCAGUCGAUACGGGCGGACUGGAGUUCGGCAGGGGAGACUGGAAUUCCUGGUGUAGCGGUGAAAUGCGCAGAUAUCAGGAGGAACACCGGUGGCGAAGGCGGCUCACUGGCCCGAUACUGACGCUGAGGCACGAAAGCUAGGGGAGCAAACAGG